CUUCAAUAUACAGAUAAAUCAUUUUCAACUUAGAAUCCUGUGAUCCCAAACCCAAUAAUCUCCACUCAUGUACAGGAAAGUUGCAUGAAUCUCAGCUGUAAGGACUUUCUCUGCAGCUACUGCACAGCUGGAGUCAGAAACGAAGCAAAACAUCUGGAGAGGAUUACUGUGAAGUACACUGGAGCUUUAUACAGCAAAGAUUCACUAGACAAAAAAGUUUUGUGACAAUUUAAACACCUUUAGCAAAACAGCAACUUUACAUAAACAAAUUUAUCCAACCUUAGACGUUAGUACUACAAUGUGAGGCAGCACACAGUAACAACAGAUGUACAGAAACUAGUCAGAAUAAUCUGAAUAGUUUCAGGAGAGAUGCCCUCACUCCAUCAGUUGUGCACUUCAUCUUUUCUCUACGUCCAUUGAUGUACCUCAUCAUACAUCUAAAAACAGUUCCAAGUAAGACUGGGAGUUUACCACAGAUCUCAGUUCCUCCCUUUUCUCAGGAGGGGUUAAUGCAAAACGUUUGGCCUUAUUUAUCCAACUGAAGAGGUUGACGGAGAACAAACAACAUAUAAUUAAGCAGGAUGGAUCAUAGAUUAGAGCUACUUAUUUUUAUUAUCUGGAUGGCAGGUGCUGAUGGUCAGACUCUGACACAGUCUGGAUCAGUGAGUAAAGUCCCUGGAGAAUCCCACACACUGACCUGUACAGGUUCUGGAUUCACAUUCAGCAGCUACUGCAUGAACUGGAUCAGACAGGCUGCUGGGAAAGGACUGGAAUGGGUUGCUGCUGAUUGUGGCGGCAGUAGCAAGUACUACUCACAGUCAGUCCAAGGACGCUUCACCAUCUCCAGAGACAACGGCAAACAGCAGCUGUAUCUGCAGAUGAACAGCCUGAGGACUGAAGAUUCUGCUGUUUAUUACUGCGCUCGAGAGGCACACUGACUAAAGUUGAUUCAGUAGCUGUACAAAAUCACAAAGGGUCUUCAAAGUCAUUUAUUCAGUACUUUUAUAUAAAUUUAACUUAAAAAAAAGCAACAAAAAAAAAGAAAAAAAUGUUAAGACUAUUCUUUAUUUCUAACCAAUUAUCACUUUACUAUGCACUAAAUGACAUUCAGUUAAAUAUGGCACAGAUAAUAAGUCUAACUUUGGUCCCAAAAUAGUUUAUUUGAGAAUAAAUAUGCCACAAAUUUAUCCAGUGUUUUUUUUUACAUAGCUCAUGUCGUCAUGUAAGACAUUGUAAAUACUAGAGUUAUUAAACAACAAGUUUAAGUCACCUAAGUUACCCUGCAGGUAUGACCCAACACAGUG